GACGAACGCUGGCGGCGUGCUUAACACAUGCAAGUCGAACGGAAAGGCCCUGCUUUUGUGGGGUGCUCGAGUGGCGAACGGGUGAGUAACACGUGAGUAACCUGCCCUUGACUUUGGGAUAACUUCAGGAAACUGGGGCUAAUACCGGGUAGGAGCUCCUGCUGCAUGGUGGGGGUUGGAAAGUUUCGGCGGUUGGGGAUGGACUCGCGGCUUAUCAGCUUGUUGGGGGGGUAGUGGCUUACCAAGGUUUUGACGGGUAGCCGGCCUGAGAGGGUGAACGGCCACAAUGGGACUGAGAUACGGCCCAGAAGCCAACGGGAGGCAACAGUGGGGAAUAUUGCAGAAUGAGCGGAAGCCUGAUACAGCAACGCCGCGUGCGGGAUGCCGGCCUUCGGGUUGUAAACCGCUUUCGCCUGUGACGAAGCGUGAGUGACGGUAAUUGGUAAAGAAGCACCGGCUAACUACGUG
rnacentral:rRNA from 1 species